UACGUAGGGGGCAAGCGUUGUCCGGAUUUAUUGGGCGUAAAGAGCGUGUAGGCGGCCAUUCAGGUCAGCUGUGAAAACUCGAGGCUCAACCUCGAGACGUCGGUUGAAACCGUUUGGCUAGAGUCCGGAAGAGGAGAGUGGAAUUCCCGGUGUAGCGGUGAAAUGCGCAGAUAUCGGGAAGAACACCCGUGGCGAAGGCGGCUCUCUGGGACGGUACUGACGCUGAGACGCGAAAGCGUGGGGAGCGAACGAGG
rnacentral:rRNA from 1 species